UAACAGAGCAAAAUCCCCAAACAAAAAGCAAAAACAAAACAUAAUCGAAACCCUAAAAUAAAAAGUGAAAAAUAGUCUAUUAUCGCCAUUCUUCACUACCAAAAUGACCAAAACCUCCACGCUAAACUCACCAAAGAACAAUGGAAUAGGAAAGGACAUUGAGGGAACCCUUUUUCCCAUAGCAUGAAAACUUUAAUCCCAAAUAGACCCGUAUCAAUAUGACUUCACGGCAGAUCUAUCCACCUCCAAUCCUUCGCUACAAUCUCACGAACCUCUGGAGGAACUUACUCUAUUCAGAACCGGUCACUCACACUUUGUCGACCAAUCAUCGUCGUUGUAUGUGCAGCCAUAUUACAACUUCUAGGAGUGAAUUUAAAACAACAUGGCUCAAAACUUCUCACAGAGCUUUCGUAUCCUAGGAAAAUUGGAGCCCAUGUAGAACCGCUAUCGCCUCUACCAUGAAAAUCGUAUUGACUUAGUGAUUGUGGAGGAGUCCAAUGAGCUGCAGCAAUUUGAUGAGGGUGCCCCAAAACUGAACUCAACAUUUGAUAUUCUUUACCAUAACCUUGAACAAAGGUAACGACAUCAUUAAUACUUUGCGAAAUUCCUUUAUGGAUGAAUUUAUUUCAAGCAUACUGCCAUGCCCAAAUUGUAAUAGCAGCAAGUUCUUUUUUGUCAUUAUUUGAAUGCUCAAAAAUCCGACAUAACCAAUCCACUAAA